rnacentral:rRNA from 1 species
UACGUAGGGGGCAAGCGUUAUCCGGAAUUAUUGGGCGUAAAGAGCUCGUAGGCGGUUUGUCGCGUCUGCCGUGAAAGUCCGGGGCUCAACUCCGGAUCUGCGGUGGGUACGGGCAGACUAGAGUGAUGUAGGGGAGACUGGAAUUCCUGGUGUAGCGGUGAAAUGCGCAGAUAUCAGGAGGAACACCGAUGGCGAAGGCAGGUCUCUGGGCAUUAACUGACGCUGAGGAGCGAAAGCAUGGGGAGCGAACAGG